rnacentral:rRNA from 1 species
AACAACUCACCUGCCGAAUGAACUAGCCCUGAAAAUGGAUGACGCUUAAGCGGAGUGCCGACACCGACCCGUAUUGGUAAGCGACGACCAAUAUGAGUAGGAGGGCGUGGCGAUUUUGUUCAGAAGGGUUCGACGCAAGUCGGCCUGGAACGGUCGCUAGUGCAGAUCUUGGUGGUAGUAGCAAAUAUUUAAGCGUGAUCCUUAAAGGACGAAGCGGGGAAGGGUUCCAUGCGAACAUUGAUUGGGCAUGGGUGAGUCGUUCCUAAGCCGGGUGGUAAUCGUUCUUACGAUCGGCGAAAGGGAAGUUGGUUAAAAUUCCAACACACGGAUGUGAAGGCGGCGACGCAUAUUGAGGUGAAGACGUUAGCGGAGACACUAGGCAGAGUUUUCUUUUCUGUUUAACCUGUGCUGCACUCUGUGGAAACCGUUUAUCGGGAGAAACAGGUGCCUAGCGGGAAGAGCGUCGGGGGGUCCCCGGCGUCUAGUAUGUCUCCGAGAGCCCUUGAAAAUUCAUCUGCAAUUUAAUUUCACGCCGUGGCGUACCGAUAACCGCAGCAGGUCCCCAAGGUGAACAGCCUCUGUCUAAUAUGAACAAU